GCCGGGGUAGCCAAGUGGCCAAAGGCGCAGGACUUAAGAUCCUGUCCCGCAGGGGUUCGCGAGUUCAAAUCUUGCCCCCGGCA
rnacentral:tRNA from 1 species